UGCCCCUCUGCAGGAGGGUCUCACUGAGCAAUGGCUGAAUGUCGGCUGCACCUAGGAACGCUUGCUGGACCCUGCUGAUGCCAAUGUCCAGAGAUUGCGGCCAGGUGCCAGCCCACCCCCAAAAAAGAUUGUGAGACAGUAUAGCAUCAGAGUUAAAGGGAUUAUGGAAAAUCGCAACCCACAUCUGGCACCAGGCUUCACCCUCAACAACCUUGCCCCAGCACCAGCGAAUGUGGCUGCCUUCCAGGGUCUGCUGGGACCAGGUGGCUUCAAUAGUCUCUACCAAAUCUCCUAGCAGUGGAACCGCUUUUCCCUGUGUGGCCCGAGAACCUCCCGGACCCCACUCUGUUCCUGGGGAUUCACCUUUCCCACCAGAGCUCCGCCAGAUCUCUGAAUGUGCCAUGUAGUACCACCCAACCUCAUCCAUUACCACAUCUUGCCGGAGGCUGGUCAGGAUUUCCUGUUCUUCAGGGAUCUCUGGCCACCAGCAAAGCCAGUCAAAUAUGCUCUAAACCAGAGGCUCUCACAGUAUGGCCCCUGAACUGCUGCACUAGUAUAAUCUGGAAAUUUGUAGAAAUGCAAAUUUUCAGGCUGAGUCUCAGACCUACUGGAUUAGGAACACAGCAGGUGGGGCUCAGCAAUCUGCUUUCUUAAGGCCUCCAGAAAAUUCUGAUGUAAGCUCAAGUUUAAGAACUACUGGUUAAAAUAUAAAAAACUGUCUUCAAGGAUGCUAACUUUCAGUGUUUCAUACCAAAAUUUUCAUUUCUUGAGUUCCUAUUAGAGGUUGCUGAGUCUAAUGCCUAGUCCCUUGAUUCUUGUCUUUUUAUUUUGCGGUAUUUCUCUACCCACUUGUGGUAUGUGAAUCUCUUUUCUGCUCCCAAAAGAAUAAACAGAAUUUUUAUCCUUGUCUGCUAAGUGGAAGUACAAAAAGUUUUUCUAGUUUUUCUGGUCUUUUGUAUCUUGGUGUUGUCCUUAAAAUGAAUUCAAUUUCCUUACUGGUCUGAAGCACACACAAAAUUCUUAUUUGGGGGGAUUUGAUAUAUUGCAAAUGUCCCUUGGGUUCAUUUCAAUUGAAUUUAUAAUCAGGUUCUCUAAUACACUCAUGCUGGGGAGUGACUCUCUCAGCCUUUUGAAGUGAUGCUCCUUAAAUCUUCCUUGAAGGGAUCCUCUUAGAGAAGCCAUUUAUAUUUGAUCAUUCUUGUUCAUACUAUCUGGUAGUUUUCAUGAAACAUAAAACAGAAUCACCAGUGGUAUUGACUUCCUUUCAGUGUCCCCUUCCUUCCCUCUAUAUUACUGGAAAAUUUUAGCCCAAUAUUAUUAUAUUCUUCUUCUUAUAUUCUGUUUGUAAGACAUGUCAGAUAUAUUCUCCAUGUGUAUUACAGAUUUCUUUCUACAUUCAGUAAUGAGGAAAGGAUGGGCUGAAUGCAAUAGGAGGAUAGGUUUGUUAGUUGAAAGCUAAGGGAUUUCUGAUGGCUCUAAUUUUCCCUGUGGAGUAGGAAGUGAGGUCAUCCAUUGGCAACUGGGGCAGGAGGUAGUGGAGUGAAUUGGAGACAUGGAGAAAUACGGCCUGAUAGGUGGUUAAAAUAUGUAAAUAGUCCUAAGCCAUGCUGAGUCUCCAUUUGCUCUGUUUCUGUGCCCUACCUUUAUCCAGUACCUCCAGAUUGUUCCCAUGAUCCAGCAUUUAGAGGAUAGCUGUCUGGCACUGAGGCUACCUAUGACCUCUUUUCUGAUCAGUGUAUGGCCAUUUUUUACUGGUAGUUAAGUAUUUUGAAGAUUACCAUGUUUAGAGAUUUUAAUGAGAGAGGAAACAUUUGGCACUGAUGUUAUAUAGAGGGGGACAGUGAAAUGACCUCAGAAAUGCAGUACCAUUCCUGAAGGCUCUUUCACUGGUUCAAUUGCUGGUGGUCAUUGUGAAUGUAUGGUCUUCAUCAUUAUGGGAUUUCCUCAGGUUCAGGCAAGGAGAAAGCAGAUAGUUAAGUCCAUCAGGGGUUGGGGGUUUAGAAGAAGAGUUCAAUGAAAAGAUAAAGAGGCAGAAAAUAAUUCAUAUAUUAUAUCAAGAAAAGUUUGUGAAAAAAAUAAAAUGAAUAAAAUUAGGGUGUUCUUUCAAUGGAAGCUUGAAGAUGUCUAAAGUACUCUUCUAGGGGUUUUCUCAAUAGAUGAAUUAAAAAAAUUGUUUAAUGUUUAUUUUUUAAAGAGAGAGAGAGCGAGCAGGGGUGAGGCAGAGAGAGAGGAGACACAGAAUUCAAAGCGGGCUCCAGGCUUUGAGCUGUCAGCACAGAGCCCAACAAGGGGCUGGAACUCACUAAUAGCAAGAAGUCGGAUGAUUAACCAACUGAGCCAUCCAGGUGCCCCCAAUCCAUCAAUUUUUAUCAUUCCUUAUCUUUGAGCUACUUUACAACUUGGACAGUUGUAUAAAACUGAUGGUAAUGAAUAUUUUUUUGUCCAUAAAGCUGCAAACUAAUUUUGUUCAGUGGAGCUAUAAUUUGUGCUUAUCAUGUGGAUAUGUAUUAGUUUUGUAUCUUUUAGCAUAUUUAUUUCAGCAUUCUUGAUUGCCCACAUAUAUGUUUGUUCUUCGGAUUCUCCUUUGAAUUGACUUUAUAUAUC